rnacentral:rRNA from 1 species
GAUGAACGCUGGCGGCGUGCCUAAUACAUGCAAGUCGAGCGAACAGACGAGGAGCUUGCUCCUCUGACGUUAGCGGCGGACGGGUGAGUAACACGUGGAUAACCUACCUAUAAGACUGGGAUAACUUCGGGAAACCGGAGCUAAUACCGGAUAAUAUAUUGAACCGCAUGGUUCAAUAGUGAAAGACGGUUUUGCUGUCACUUAUAGAUGGAUCCGCGCCGCAUUAGCUAGUUGGUAAGGUAACGGCUUACCAAGGCAACGAUGCGUAGCCGACCUGAGAGGGUGAUCGGCAACACUGGAACUGAGACACGGUCCAGACUCCUACGGGAGGCAGCAGUAGGGAAUCUUACGCAAUGGGCGAAAGCAUGACGGAGCAACGCCGCGUGAGUGAUGAAGGUCUUCGGAUCGUAAAACUCUGUUAUUAGGGAAGAACAAAUGUGUAAGUAACUAUGCACGUCUUGACGGUACCUAAUCAGAAAGCCACGGCUAACUACGUG